rnacentral:rRNA from 1 species
CGCCUUGCCAGCCCGCUCAGAAACUUAAAGGAAUUGACGGGGCCCGCACAAGCGGUGGAGCAUGUGGUUAAUUCGAUGAUACGCGAGGAACCUUACCUGGGCUCAAAUGUAUGUUGACGUAUUCUGAAAGGGAUACUUCUUCGGACAAUAUACAAGGUGCUGCAUGGUUGUCGUCAGCUCGUGCCGUGAGGUGUCGGGUUAAGUCCCAUAACGAGCGCAACCCUACCAUUAGUUGCCAUCAGGUCAAGCUGGGGACUCUAAUGAAACUGCCUACGCAAGUAGUGAGGAAGGUGGGGAUGACGUCAAAUCAGCACGGCCCUUACGUCCAGGGCUACACACGUGCUACAAUGGCCGGUACAAAGGGCAGCUACCUGGUGACAGGAUGCUAAUCUCAAAAGCCGGUCUCAGUUCGGAUCGGAGUCUGCAACCCGACUCCGUGAAGCUGGAAUCGCUAGUAAUCGCGCAUCAGCCAUGGCGCGGUGAAUACGUUCCCGGGCCUU